CUGUUACAUUCCUAAUUUGCUAUCUUGUGUAUAUCUAAAACAUUCUUUUUUAUUUUAUACACCCCCAGCACAUACAUCCUGUAUAAACGCAGCACUUACAACCUGUAUCCAUAUGCAUGUAUGCUUUAAGCUCGCUGUCUUAGUGUCAUUUUUUUAUCCCGGCCUCACCUUUGCGCCUCAUGUCCAGUCUGCUGCUAAAACCUGUCAAUUCUAGCUUAAACACAUUGACCGCAAACACCCCUUUCUUACGCAAAAUGCUUUUUCAUGCUCGAGUAACUUCUCACAUGGAUUACUAUAAUUCUCUCUUAUUUGGUCUCCACAGAAACCGAACUGCCCCCCUACAUUGACAAUAG